rnacentral:rRNA from 1 species
UACGGAGGGUGCAAGCGUUAUCCGGAUUCACUGGGUUUAAAGGGUGCGUAGGCGGGUAAGUAAGUCAGUGGUGAAAUCUCCGGGCUUAACUCGGAAACUGCCGUUGAUACUAUUUAUCUUGAAUAUCAUGGAGGUAAGCGGAAUAUGUCAUGUAGCGGUGAAAUGCUUAGAUAUGACAUAGAACACCGAUAGCGAAGGCAGCUUACUACAUGUUAAUUGACGCUGAGGCACGAAAGCGUGGGGAGUAAACAGG